AACGAACGCUGGCGGCAUGCCUAACACAUGCAAGUCGAACGAGACCUUCGGGUCUAGUGGCGCACGGGUGCGUAACGCGUGGGAACCUGCCCUUAGGUUCGGAAUAACUCCCCGAAAGGGGUGCUAAUACCGGAUAAUGUCUUCGGACCAAAGAUUUAUCGCCUUUGGAUGGGCCCGCGUUGGAUUAGCUAGUUGGUAGGGUAAAAGCCUACCAAGGCGACGAUCCAUAGCUGGUCUGAGAGGAUGAUCAGCCACACUGGGACUGAGACACGGCCCAGACUCCUACGGGAGGCAGCAGUGGGGAAUAUUGGACAAUGGGCGAAAGCCUGAUCCAGCAAUGCUGCGUGAGUGAUGAAGGCCUUAGGGUUGUAAAGCUCUUUUACCCGGGAUGAUAAUGACAGUACCGGGAGAAUAAGCGCCGGCUAACUCCGUG
rnacentral:rRNA from 1 species